AAUCGAACCCGGAGAUAGCUGGUUCUCCCCGAAAUAGCUUUAGGGCUAGCGUCGAGGUAGAGAGUUGCGUGAAGGUAGAGCACUGAAUAUGUGAUGGCCCCAUCUCGGGGUACUGAGCAUAAUCAAACUGCGAAUGUCACGGAAACAUACUCGGCAGUCAGACAGCGGGUGAUAAGGUCCGUUGUCAAGAGGGAAACAGCCCAGACCAUCAGCUAAGGUCCCAAAAUGUAUGCUAAGUGGAAAAGGAUGUGGAGAUGUACAGACAACUAGGAGGUUGGCUCAGAAGCAGCCAUCCUUUAAAGAGUGCGUAACAGCUCACUAGUCGAAUGACUCUGCGCCGAUAAUUUACCGGGGCUAAGCAUACUACCGAAGCUAUGGAUCCCAAGGGAUGGUAGGGGAGCGUUCCAUGAACGGAGAAGCGCGAUCGAGAGGACGCGUGGAGAUCAUGGAAGAGAGAAUGCCGGUGUGAGUAGCGGAACGUGGGUGAGAAUCCCACGCACCGAAAACCCAAGGUUUCCAGAGGAAGGUUCGUCCGCUCUGGGUAAGUCGGGACCUAAGGCGAGGCCGAGAGGCGUAGUCGAUGGACAACAGGUAGAGAUUCCUGUACUCAUAUAUAUGUGAAGGAAUGACGGAGAGAGGAAGCUGCAGCCAGCGGCUGGAAGAGCUGGUGCAAGCGAGAUAUCGGGAUGGCAGGCAAAUCCACCAUCCGAAACGAGAAGGCGUGAAGCGUACGGAAAGCUAAGGCGAGUACGGAAGGCAGUGGAGGAGCUUCCAAGAAAAGUUUCUAACGAAAGUAUAUGUGACCCGUACCGAAAAUGGACACACAUGGGUGAGGAGAGAAUCCUAAGGUGAGCGAGAGAACUAUAGCUAAGGAACUCUGCAAAAUGACUCCGUAACUUAGGGAGAAGGAGUGCUCAUAGAGAUAUGAGCCGCAGUGAAACGGCCCAAGCGACUGUUUACCAAAAACACAGCUCUCUGCUAAGCCGCAAGGCGAAGUAUAGGGGGUGACGCCUGCCCGGUGCUGGAAGGUUAAGGGGAGGGGUUAACGCAAGUGAAGCCCUGAACUGAAGCCCCAGUAAACGGCGGCCGUAACUAUAACGGUCCUAAGGUAGCGAAAUUCCUUGUCAGGUAAGUUCUGACCCGCACGAAAGGCGUAACGAUUUGGGCGCUGUCUCAGCUGUAGACUCGGUGAAGUCUUAGUACCUGUGAAGAUGCAGGUUACCCGCGACUAGACGGAAAGACCCCAUGGAGCUUCACUGCAGGUUGAUAUUGGGAUUUGAUGCAGCAUGUACAGGAUAGGUAGGAGGCAAAGAGAUGGAUACGCCAGUAUUCAAGGAGCCGCUGUUGGGAUACUACCCCUGUUGUAUUGGAUUUCUAACCGGACGACGUAAAGCCGUUGACGGGACAGUGUCAGUCGGGCAGUUUGACUGGGGCGGUCGCCUCCCAAAGAGUAACGGAGGCGCCCAAAGAUACCCUCAGCUUGGAUGGAAACCAAGCGCAGAGUGCAAAGGCAAAAGGGUGUUUGACUGCGAGACCUACAAGUCGAGCAGGGACGAAAGUCGGGCUUAGUGAUCCGGCGGUGCUGAAUGGAAAGGCCGUCGCUCAACGGAUAAAAGCUACCCUGGGGAUAACAGGCUGAUCUCCCCCAAGAGUUCACAUCGACGGGGAGGUUUGGCACCUCGAUGUCGGCUCAUCGCAUCCUGGAGCUGAAGUCGGUUCCAAGGGUUGGGCUGUUCGCCCAUUAAAGCGGUACGCGAGCUGGGUUCAGAACGUCGUGAGACAGUUCGGUCCCUAUCUGUCGUGGGCGCAGGAAAUUUGAGAAGAGCUGUCCUCAGUACGAGAGGACCGGGAUGGACGCAUCAAUGGUGGACCAGUUGUCACGCCAGUGGCAUAGCUGGGUAGCUAAAUGCGGAAGGGAUAAACGCUGAAGGCAUCUAAGUGUGAAACCCACUUCAAGAUGAGAUUUCCCAUUGC
rnacentral:rRNA from 1 species